rnacentral:lncRNA from 1 species
AAGCUAGUUUUUAUAAAAAUAUUAAUUUUUUUUUAAAAUUUAGUAGUUCAAUUAGGAACUAGGUUAUUAUUAUAUUAUUAAUAGCACAAAAUUAUUUAUGCUAUUAGAUUUCCGACUCUUGGAUAAAAGGAUGUGCGGUUAAGAUAAUAAUAGUUUAUAAGCGUUGAAUGAGUAGUUUGUUAAAUAGUAUGAUCUAACAGAUAAAAAUAAAUAAAAAAAUAGAUUUAAUUGUAAAAAAUUUGAUAACACUAAAUAUUUAGUGCUAAUGAUAGCAUUGUAGCUCGAUUCAUUCUACUUAUAUAGCAACAUUCGUUUUACUUAUAUAGCAACUGUCUCACCAGUCACCAAGUAUAUCCUAAUCCCCAACAGGCAAUCUGAUCACUUGAGGGUGAAGAGUACAUUUCAGACGGUUGGCAAAAUUCAUUGUUUACGAGUAAUGGGUAAGAAUUGAGAGCAUAGCCAUCUAAAGUUAAAAAAAGCCAGAAUAUGUCUAAAAAGUAGAUGGGUUCCCUUACUCUCAUUCCAUUUUCGAAGAUAGAAUAUUAAAAUUAAAGAAAAACUUCGAAUGCCACCUCUCCGUGGUUUCACAUUCUGUGUUUUAAAAUAUAUUAUUUUAGUAUUCUGCAGUUUUUGUUUUCUUUAUGUCCUUUAUUAAGUUUUUUGUUACAUUCGUGAUAAAGUUAAAAUCACGUGAUACUAAAGUAAAAAUACAGUAAAUUAUAGAAUACUAAAGUGAAUAUUCAAUAAACCAUAUAUAGGUGGGGCAUCUGGAGUUUUUUGUAUAUUAUUUAACAAAGAGUUGGCGGAGGUGCUGACGAAAAGAGAAAAAAUAAAACUAUCGAGUACGAAAGUGCUACACUUUAAACUACUGGAUAUUAAAAUGAACAAGUACGUAACCACAAAGGUGAUAUUUAAAAUUUAUCCUAAAAUUAAUGAUAAUCACAGUUAAAAAAACACUAUA